AAAGUUAAAACCCCAUUAAGCUGUUAUACGCUCUCAUGGGUGGAAUCAUCAACAACGAAAGUAAUUUUAUAUCAUCAGACCUCUUGAUGCCACGAUAGUUGGGCCCCAAACUAGGAUUAGAUACCCUACUAUGCCCAACCACAAACUUAGACAAUAAUCUACCAUAUUGUCCGCCAGAGUACUACAAGCGCUAGCUUAAAACCCAAAGGACUUGGCGGUACUCCAGACCCCCCUAGAGGAGCCUGUUCUAUAAUCGAUAAUCCCCGUUAAACCUCACCACUUCUUGCCAAUACCGCCUAUAUACCGCCGUCGUCAGCUCACCCUGUGAAGGACUAAAAGUAAGCAAAAAGAACUAUCUCCCAUACGUCAGGUCAAGGUGUAGCGAAUGAAGUGGAAAGAAAUGGGCUACAUUCUCUGCUAAGAGAACACGAAUAGUGGACUGAAAACCCACUUCAAGGUGGAUUUAGUAGUAAGGAAAAAUCAGAGAGUUUUCCUGAAAUUGGCUCUGGAAUGCGCACACACCGCCCGUCACUCUCCUCAACAAAACCUUUAUUUUUUUUACAUAAAACCUUUAUUUUAUAAAGAGGAGGCAAGUCGUAA
rnacentral:rRNA from 1 species